AUAACAACCCAGCUAUUGGUCCAAGCCAGACACUGCAUGAAGCAUGAUGAAGACCCAUCCUAAACUCUGGGUUACCCAAACAAACCUUUUUGCCAUCAUCAACAGUUUGGUUCCUCUGUGUAUAUAGCCACUGUUGGUGCACACAGGCUUCUGCAGGGACCCUCUCUGUGCCGGAUGCUCUCAAACUCUGUAGAUAUUGGUGGGAAUCAGGUGAUAACGGAAGAAAGAGUUGUCACUGUCCUCUCUGUAUGCUUCAAAUUGCACCAAGGUGCCACUUGACAUCACCCCGUGGAGUCACAGCCUCAACAUCCCCCAUGAGACUGAUAGCCUCCCCGUUUUGCUAACACACUCAGGAGAUGGGGCAACAGCGUGGGUCCUGGACCUCAUUAUUUCCACCCACCAUUUUAAAGAGAUUCGUUGCCUCCCACGGGUGACGGGACUGCCACUGUGCCUCCUGACAAGAGGAAAGCUGUGACUCAUUCGUCUCUUUGAUGUUUCUAUGUGCAUCUCUUCAUGGCCCCCGAAAUGUCGGGAUUUGCGCUUGUCUUGCUUUGACAGGAGAGGUGGAUGAGCGCUGUCUCGGCUCCUCCGCGGUAGGGUUGACUCAUGAAAACGGCCAUGGUUUGUAUCUUCACUCGGGCUCUUCCGCUCCAGUUCGGAUCCCUAAAGAAUUAUUUCUCCUGAGUAGAGCUGCCUUGUAAGCCUUGAGAGGAAGGCAUGGAGCCAAACUCUGCCAAAAACAGUCCAAGUUGGCAUGGGGCCAGCCAGUUGGCUGCUGCGCAGAGUCCUCUCCCAGCCUCUCCAGGCCCCCCUCCGGUUCCCUUUUACAGCUGUCUGGCCUCAGGUAAUCACGGGCACUCUGCGGGUCCCUGGCUCUUUUCAUUCCCGCGUUUCAGAUCACUUUACACACAUUAAUUAAGCCUUAAAACACUCAGGAAAGGGAAGCCAAAGGCAGCGGGAAUGUUUGCAACAUGCGCCUCCAUGCUCUGGCUGAAGAGCAGGAUAGCCCUGCCCUCUCCCCGCCCUGCCCCGCCAAGCCCCGCCCUCACUUAGGCGGAAAGUGGGGGCUUCUGUGUUCCCCGCAUAGUUGAAACCCCUUCUACCUGCCUCAGAAAACUCCAUAUUCAUUAUUGACUCAGGAUGGUCAUCCACCCCAUUGAGGUUACCUGCUAUAGAUGAUACAUAUGACCUUUGGAAGUAGGGUUCUGGGCAGAUCUGGCUCGAUGUCUUUUCAUACAUGGAAUGAAUACCCUCAGUUGGAACCCUAUACUUCUGCAUUCGGCAUAGAAAAAUGCUAGAUAUUAUGGCCUUCCUGAGCCGUCUUGUACAUAAUCCCAUUCAGUCUGAAUUAGUAGUUUUGCUACCAAAGUGUUCGACCUUGUAGCUUGAAUUGAUGUUGGUGUCUCUCAUUGAGAUGAAAUGUUAGGAAGUCUGCAGUUUAGUUAAUGGUUUGCACCAACCGCUAAUCCUUAGUUUAGAUUAAUUUAUGGCUAUUUGAGCCAUGAACAUUAUAGGAAGUUGGGUGUGUGAAAUGCAGGGGCUGUGUUUUGGUGGGUAAUAAUAAUCUUAUUGUGAGCGCCUCAAAAUUGGUAAUGAUACCCACAUUUUUAGUGUACUAUUUUAAAAUACCUCUAUGGCUUCCAAGAAAAUAAUAAAUGCCAAGCCUUUUGUUACC
rnacentral:lncRNA from 1 species